rnacentral:rRNA from 1 species
GAUGAACGCUAGCGGCAGGCCUAAUACAUGCAAGUCGAACGGUGUCUUCGGACAUAGUGGCGCACGGGUGCGUAACACGUAUGCAACCUACCUUACAUUGGGGGAUAGCCUUUCGAAAGGGAGAUUAAUACCGCAUAAGACAGUAGUCUGGCAUCAGACAGCUGUUAAAGAUUUAUCGAUGUAAGCUGGGCAUGCGUCCAAUUAGUUAGUUGGCGGGGUAACGGCUCACCAAGACUAUGAUUGGUAGGGGAACUGAGAGGUCAAUCCCCCACACUGGCAAUGAGAUACGGGACAGACUCAUACGGGAGGCAGCAGUAGGGAAUAUUGGGCAAUGGACGCAAGUCUGACCCAGCCAUGCCGCGUGCAGGAAGAAGGCGCUAUGCGUUGUAAACUGCUUUUAUACAGGAAGAAACGACUCUUGCGAGAGGUAUUGACGGUACUGUAUGAAUAAGCACCGGCUAACUCCGUGCCAGCAGCCGCGGUAACAC